rnacentral:rRNA from 1 species
UACGUAGGUGGCAAGCGUUUGUCCGGAAUUAUUGGGCGUAAAGCGCGCGCAGGCGGUCCUUUAAGUCUGAUGUGAAAGCCCACGGCUCAACCGUGGAGGGUCAUUGGAAACUGGGGGACUUGAGUGCAGAAGAGGAAAGCGGAAUUCCACGUGUAGCGGUGAAAUGACGUAGAGAUGUGGAGGAACACCAGUGGCGAAGGCGGCUUUCUGGUCUGUAACUGACGCUGAGGCGCGAAAGCGUGGGGAGCAAACAGG